AUUGAACGCUGGCGGCAGGCCUAACACAUGCAAGUCGAGCGGAGCGGCGGACGGGUGAGUAAUGCCUAGGAAUCUUCCUGGUAGUGGGGGAUAACGUCCGGAAACGGGCGCUAAUACCGCAUACUAUCAGAUGAGCCUAGGUCGGAUUAGCUAGUUGGUGGGGUAAAGGCCUACCAAGGCGACGAUCCGUAACUGGUCUGAGAGGAUGAUCAGUAAAACUGGAAUGUGGACACGGUCCAGACUCCUACGGGGGGCAGCAGGGGGGAAUAUUGGACAAUGGGCGAAAGCCUGAUGCCGCCAGUCCGGUGGGUGUAAGAAGGUCUUCGGAUUGUAAAGCACUUUAAGUUGGGAGGCGUUACCAACAGAAUAAGCACCGGCUAACUUCGUGCCAGCAGCCGCGGUAAUAC
rnacentral:rRNA from 1 species